GCCUCCGUAGCUCAGAGGAAGAGCACCGGAUUACGGAUCCGGCGGUCGCAGGUUCGACUCCUGCCGGGGGCG
rnacentral:tRNA from 1 species